rnacentral:sRNA from 2 species
UUAAGUUAUGAGUCAAUUCCCGAUAGGAUUCACGCUUUGACGUGAAGCUGCCUUGUAACCGAACGACGUUGAGAUUAUCGGUCAACUCUGACGUCCACCAUAUCUAGGGGGAAUAUUCAAUU